UUGGGGUUGGAAACGGAUGAGGCACUCGUAAACCCGGUCAGGUCCGAAAGGAAGCAGCCGUAGCGAAUCUGUCUUAGGUCGUCUUCCAACCCUUUAUA
rnacentral:SRP_RNA from 1 species